CAGCAGCCACGGUAAUACGUAGGGUGCAAGCGUUAAUCGGAAUUACUGGGCGUAAAGCGUGCGCAGGCGGUUCUAUAAGACAGAUGUGAAAUCCCCGGGCUCAACCUGGGAACUGCAUUUGUGACUGUAGAGCUGGAGUGCGGCAGAGGGGGAUGGAAUUCCGCGUGUAGCAGUGAAAUGCGUAGAUAUGCGGAGGAACACCGAUGGCGAAGGCAAUCCCCUGGGCCUGCACUGACGCUCAUGCACGAAAGCGUGGGGAGCAAACAGGAUUAGAUACCCGAGUAGUCCCUGUCUCUUAUAC
rnacentral:rRNA from 1 species